rnacentral:rRNA from 1 species
ACGUACACUCCUGCGGGAGGCAGCAGUGGGGAAUAUUGGACAAUGGGCGCAAGCCUGAUCCAGCCAUGCCGCGUGAGUGAUGAAGGCCCUAGGGUUGUAAAGCUCUUUCACCGGUGAAGAUAAUGACGGUAACCGGAGAAGAAGCCCCGGCUAACUUCGUGCCAGCAGCCGCGGUAAUACGAAGGGGGCUAGCGUUGUUCGGAUUUACUGGGCGUAAAGCGCACGUAGGCGGACUAUUAAGUCAGGGGUGAAAUCCCGGGGCUCAACCCCGGAACUGCCUUUGAUACUGGUAGUCUUGAGUUCGAGAGAGGUGAGUGGAAUUCCGAGUGCAGAGGUGAAAUUCGUAGAUAUUCGGAGGAACACCAGUGGCGAAGGCGGCUCACUGGCUCGAUACUGACGCUGAGGUGCGAAAGCGUGGGGAGCAAACAGGAGUAGAUACCCCAGUAGUCCCAUGAU